ACUUCUCUUUUCUUUCUUUUUCUUCUUUUUCAUUUUCGGUAGAACACUCUCUUCACUCCUUCAAACUCUCCACCGGCACUUCCACACCACCACCAUCACCAUUUCCACCAUCAUCUUUCAGGCAAGAUCACCGGAAAAUUCUUGGGAACCCAUAAACACCUUCACAUCCUUUUUUUGAGAUAAAAAUUUCUCAUCUUUUUGGUGGGUUUUGCACUUUUGCUUGAGGUUAUUUUUAUCUAAUCUUUAAUAAUGAUACCCAUGUGAUUUAUGAGCAUUGUAAGUGAUAUUUAUGUGUUUUUAGGUAUGGGUUUUAUAUUGGUGGAAUUAUUUGAUGAGUGUGUAUAUAAUUUGUGCUAUUGAUGACUACUUAAGGUUUAUGAAUGGUGGAAAAUUUAAGGGUUUUAAGUUAUAACAUGUGAUGGUUGGUAAAUUUAAUUUUUCCAUUGCCAUUGUGUUUAUUUGGAGUUAGUUGAAGUUCUAAAUUUCUUGUCUUGGAGGAUAUAUUGAUUUUGCUUUUAUGGGUCUCUUAAUGAUGUAGUGUAAAUUUUAUGGAAGCUAGUCAUAAUGUUGAAGAUGAUAUUAAAUGAGUUAACUUUAUAAAUUGGAGUUUAUGCCUUGUGAAUCAUUUUGUUGAGAAACUAUGGAAGUGGAAUAUAUUAUUAUUGAUGAGGUUAAAUGCUAGGCUUGCCUAAUUAAGUGAUUAUUUGGCAAUUCCUAAAUUGUGGCUAGAUACAAUUUCAAGCUCUAUACUUAUUGUGAUAGGUUUACUUGAUAUUGUUUAAGUUCUAGCUAAUCUCCUUGGAGCUUGGAGAAUUAGGAUUUUGCGGUUGUGAGAGUAGGCAACAAUCUUUUGAGACAGCUUUUUGGUGGCUAAUAGUAGUUAGACUAACUACUAAUGGAGGCUGAACUUUGGUAAUGGAGAUAUUAGAUGUUGUACAUCUUAGAGUAGGCUUGACUCAUUCUUUUGUGUAUUAUAGUGGUUGUGACUUUAUUCCCACUAAUGGGACAAGCUAUUGAUAUGUAAUUAUUUAUUCAGACCUCUAUUUUUUUAUGGCCAUUGGUCCUUAUAAUUAUUUCUUAGAACUCUGACUUACUCUGAGAGUAUAUUCAAUGGAAUUAUUAUGAUAA